rnacentral:rRNA from 1 species
AUGAGUUUUAAUACAGCAAAGGACUCCAGCCUGAAUUCAGAAAUAAAUAAAACGAAAUUUGAUAAGAGUAUUUCCUGGGCACCUGCCCAAAGAAAAACACGAUACUUAAUUCACCAGCUUGCUUGUGGCACCAAACGAAAUGAGAUGAGAGUAUUUUUAUGGCAGAUGGUGCAGCUAGUAAGUAGUUUCUGUAGUUUGCUUGUUCUUCUUCAGUUAAGUGCAGAGAACAGAGCUCUGCCCCUUAUCCUUCACGCUUCUCCUCCCACAGAUAGCUCCUUGAACAACAACUUAGAGCAACAUUAA